AGAGUUGAUCAUGGCUACAGAACGAACGCUGGCGGCGCGUCUUAAGCAUGCAAGUCGAACGGCAAGAGGUAGCAAUACCUCCUAGAGUGGCGGACUGGUGAGUAACACGUGGGUGACAUACCCUUCAGAUGGGGAUAGCUAUUAGAAAUAGUAGAUAAUACCGAAUACGAGCACAGGGGUUAGAGACCUGUGAGGAAAGGAGCUAAGGCUCCGCUGAAAGGAAUGGCCUGCGGCCCAUUAGCUAGUUGGUGAGGUAAGAGCCCACCAAGGCGAUGAUGGGUAUCCGGCCUUAGAGGGUGAACGGACACAUUGGGACUGAGAUACGGCCCAGACUCCUACGGGAGGCAGCAGCUAAGAAUAUUCCGCAAUGGACGAAAGUCUGACGGAGCGACGCCGCGUGGAUGAAGAAGGCCGGAAGGUUGUAAAAUCCUUUUGAAACUGAAGAAUAAGCGUUGUAGGGAAUGACAGCGUGGUGACAGUAGGUUUUGAAUAAGCAACGGCUAAUUACGUGCCAGCCGCCGC
rnacentral:rRNA from 1 species